rnacentral:rRNA from 1 species
UACGGGGGGUGCAAGCGUUGUUCGGAAUUAUUGGGCGUAAAGCGCGUGUAGGCGGUUUGUUAAGUCUGAUGUGAAAGCCCUGGGCUCAACCCAGGAAGUGCAUUGGAUACUGGCAGACUUGAAUACGGGAGAGGGUAGUGGAAUUCCUGGUGUAGGAGUGAAAUCCGUAGAUAUCAGGAGGAACACCGGUGGCGAAGGCGGCUGCCUGGACCGAUAUUGACGCUGAGACGCGAAAGCGUGGGUAGCAAACAGGAUUAGAUACCCUGGUAGUCCACGCCGUAAACGAUGAGUACUAGGUGUUGCGGGUAUUGACCCCUGCAGUGCCGCAGCUAACGCAUUAAGUACUCCGCCUGGGAAGUACGGUCGCAAGACUAAA